rnacentral:rRNA from 1 species
UGGGGAAUUUUGGACAAUGGGGGCAACCCUGAUCCAGCCAUGCCGCGUGUGUGAAGAAGGCCUUCGGGUUGUAAAGCACUUUCGGCCGGAACGAAAUCGCGCGAUCUAACAAGUCGCGUGGAUGACGGUACCGGAAGAAGAAGCACCGGCUAACUACGUGCCAGCAGCCGCGGUAAUACGUAGGGUGCGAGCGUUAAUCGGAAUUACUGGGCGUAAAGUGUGCGCAGGCGGCUGAGCAAGUCGAGUGUGAAAGCCCCGAGCUUAACUUGGGAAUUGCGCUCGAAACUACUUGGCUGGAGUGUGGCAGAGGAGGGUGGAAUUCCACGUGUAGCGGUGAAAUGCGUAGAGAUGUGGAGGAACACCAAUGGCGAAGGCAGCCCUCUGGGCCAACACUGACGCUCAUGCACGAAAGCGUGGGGAGCAAACAGGAUUAGAUACCCUGGUAGUCCACGCCCUAAACGAUGACGACUAGUUGUUGGAGGAGUUAAAUCCUUUAGUAACGCAGCUAACGCGCGAAGUCGUCCGCCUGGGGAGUACGGUCGCAAGAUUA